rnacentral:rRNA from 1 species
UACGCAGGGGGCUAGCGUUGCUCGGAAUUACUGGGCGUAAAGCGCACGUAGGCGGCUUGUUAAGUCAGGGGUGAAAUCCUGGAGCUCAACUCCAGAACUGCCUUUGAUACUGGCGAGCUUGAGUUCGGGAGAGGUGAGUGGAGCUGCGAGUGUAGAGGUGAAAUUCGUAGAUAUUCGCAAGAACACCAGUGGCGAAGGCGGCUCACUGGCACGAUACUGACGCUGAGGUGCGAAAGCGUGGGGAGCAAACAGG